AUACGGAGGGUGCAAGCGUUAUUCGGAAUCACUGUGUGUAAAGGACGCGUAGGCGGGUUGGCAAGACAGAUGUGAAAUCCUACAGCUUAACUGUAGAACUGCAUUUGAAACUGCUAACCUAGAGUAUGGGAGGGGGAGAUGGAAUUAGUGGUGUAGGGGUAAAAUCCGUAGAUAUCACUAGGAAUACCGAAAGCGAAGGCGAUCUCCUGGAACAUAACUGACGCUAAGGCGUGAAAGCGUGGGGAGCAAACAGGAUUAGAAACCCUAGUAGUCC
rnacentral:rRNA from 1 species